AUCGCUUCUCGGCCUUUUGGCUAAGAUCAAGUGUAAAAUCCAUUUGGGAAUCCUACCUAACGAUAAAAACUCUGUGUCAAUAAUUUAAGGUAUUCCUUCUAAUUUUUGGUAGUUUAUGUUUUGUGGACAACAUGUCUGAAGUAUAUAAUUGCAGAACAAUUGUAGUGUGAAAGUUGGUGCUGUUGACUUU